rnacentral:lncRNA from 1 species
UAGGCGCAAAAACGGGUUUUUUUGAAAAAAAAACGUUGCUGAGGCGCAAAAAGGCGCGCGCCUAGGCGCAAAAACGGUGUUGAGGCGCAGUGGAUAAGCAGAAAAACUGAAAAAAAAAACGAAACCGAGUGCGUGCAAAAACUGCCUCACGCUGGCCCGUGUUUUUGGAGCUGCAUUCGUGUCCGCAGGACGUGUGGGCACGCACGAGUUCAACCAAAUUCCAGCUAAGAAACACAUUUUUAUAUUUUGCUCUAUGUACGCUUUUCUUUAAAAAGCCCACACUUUUUUGCGCCUUGCGCCUAGGCUCCGGGCAAGGCCGAUGCGCCUCGCGUGCGCCUUGCGUCUUUGACAACAUAGACCACCGUUGCCACUAAAAGUAACAAGAUAUCGUUGGGCAUAGCUCAGUUAUCCCUAGAAAACAUACUAUUGAAUUCAAAAGUAAAUAUGGUUUUUAUCCCAAAAAACAUCAUAAAGGGAAGCUUCAUUUCAAGAACAGUUAACCAAAGUCAUAAAAGGGAGCUUCAUUUCACUCAUAGAGAUCCUAUUUGUGCUCUUUUUUGCCAAUUAGUUUUUAAGAACAAUUAACCAAAGUCAAUAAUAAACCUCAAAACGUUCAGCGAGCAUCUAAACAACUAAGCAGAAGGGUAUGUGAGUGUCCAUUUAUUAGCCCAAAAACGUUACAUAAAUAAAACUUUUAACUUCUGCUUCAGUACUAGUGCUACACCUAACCCAAAUCGGUCUCCUCUGUAUUACUUUCUUUUCUAAUUUUCUAGUAAAGUGCCCAAGCAAUUGACCAAUUUAACACCCUUCUAUUCAAAUAAAAACCAUAACAGGAACCAACUAGUAGCUCAAAACAAUUCACCCCUAAUCUUAUCCAUCCUAGAAACCACAUAACUUACACACCAAAAGAGCAUGUAUCAAUCAAAAGCAAACUCCUUUAACCUAAAAUUCACCAAAAAAGGAUAA